AACGAACGCUGGCGGCAGGCUUAACACAUGCAAGUCGAGCGCCCUUUUCGGAGGGAGCGGCAGACGGGUGAGUAACACGUGGGAAUCUACCCAUCACUACGGAACAACUCCGGGAAACUGGAGCUAAUACCGUAUACGUCCUUCGGGAGAAAGAUUUAUCGGUGAUGGAUGAGCCCGCGUUGGAUUAGCUAGUUGGUGGGGUAAAGGCCUACCAAGGCGACGAUCCAUAGCUGGUCUGAGAGGAUGAUCAGCCACACUGGGACUGAGACACGGCCCAGACUCCUACGGGAGGCAGCAGUGGGGAAUAUUGGACAAUGGGCGCAAGCCUGAUCCAGCCACGCCGCGUGAGUGAUGAAGGCCCUAGGGUUGUAAAGCUCUUUCACCGGUGAAGAUAAUGACGGUAACCGGAGAAGAAGCCCCGGCUAACUUCGUGCCAGCCGCCGCGGUAACAC
rnacentral:rRNA from 1 species